UGGCUCAGGACGAACGCUGGCGGCGUGCUUAACACAUGCAAGUCGAACGGGAGUAUUGAAGAAGCUUGCUUUAGAGAUACUUUAGUGGCGGACGGGUGAGUAACGCGUGAGGAGCUGUCCUAUGCAGGGGGACAACAGCUGGAAACGGCUGCUAAUACCCCAUAAGCCGAGAGGUAAAAGGAUCAAUCCGGCAGAGGAGGUACUCGCGUCCUAUCAGCUAGUAGGUGAGGUAACGGCUCACCUAGGCGAAGACGGGUAGCCGGCCUGAGAGGGCGAACGGCCACACUGGAACUGAGAUACGGUCCAGACUCCUACGGGAGGCAGCAGUGGGGAAUAUUGGGCAAUGGGGGGAAAAACCCCCUGACCCAGCGACGCCGCGUGGGUGAAGAAAUCCUUCGGGAUGUAAAGCCCUGUUGUAUGGGAAGAGCGGAAGACGGUACCAUACGAGGAAGCCCCGGCAAACUACGUGCCAGCCGCCGC
rnacentral:rRNA from 1 species